AAGGACUAGCUAGGAGGGGAAGAAGAGGGCAGAGCUGCGGGGAGGUGGGGGCCCUGGACGCUGCCAUGCUGACUUCACAGCUCACACAGAGUAGGGAGGCAGUAACACUCCAAGCGGGGCAAAAUCCAGAGUCUGAAAACGUCUUGGAAGAGAAGAGAAAAGUUUUUGGAUGAUCCCAGCAAAGACACCCCCACCCCACCUCCCCAUCUCUCCCCGCAUCUACCACCACGCUAGCGACCCGGACCCUCAGCAGGUGGGCGUGGGUGCUCUCAGCGCGAAGGUGGGACGCUGCCCCCGUCCCCGUCUCCUCAGGACGCACUAGCUGGCUGGGUUUGGUUCCUAAGGUACUUUUCCUCCCCAGCUCCUGAGUUCCUGCGGGGAUGCAGAGCUUUGCAGAGCUGGCGUGGAACGCGCUCAGCAAAUGUGUGUGCGUAGCUGUGUGAGUUAGGGUUGUGCAAACUCUUCUACUCAACACCUCGUUUCUGCAUCGAUAAUCGUGGGCGCCUACGACUCCGCUUCAGGGCAGAGCUGAGGUGAGGGAUAGGUAGCCGAGUCCGCCGGAGUCAAGUUCCGUGUGACACAGUUGUGCCCUACAGUAGUGCCGAGAGUCGGGGUGUCUGGGACCAGACGUGAGGACAAGAGCGGAGGCCCCCGGAGCCGAGAGGGAGAGGUGCCAGAGCGGGUCCCGGGUCCGUGUACCCCCACAGGAGCUCCCUGCCCCCGGCUGGGCAGGAUGUGGUGGCAGCUGCAGUUGGGUGGGCAGGAUGUGGGGGUGGGGGCAGGCGAACACAGCCCGACAGUAGUCUCCCCCCCAGCUCCUGCCUCCACCCCCUCCGGGUCACGUGCUCUCGGCUUGGGCACCGACGGACUAUUUCCCAUUUUCCGCGGAAGGACAUCUCAAGCCCGCCGUCACGGACCUUAGUUGUUCCACGCCAUUUUCUUGCCCCCAUCUCCAGCCUAGGACAGAAAGUUUGCCCAGUACACGUUUCUGUAAAGCGCGGAUUAAGUCGGAAGAGGCCCCUUUAAAUGCAAAUGAUCGCCUUCUUGCUCCGCUCCCCCCCCCAACCCCCAUCCCAACUUCUCUCCUCGUGCCCAAACUCCACCAGCUGCUAUUGACGUCAAUCGUGCGUCAGCAUCGCCAGCCCAACCAGACAGCACGUGGGGGGAAGAAGGCAAUCUUAAAGGGCCAGUCGCUCCGGGCCUGUUGGGUUACCGGAGAAAGGAAAAGCGAAGUGGAAUGCUGGAAACUGUUGGAGCAGGAAGACAUGCAGGGGAGACUUUGAGAAGGACUGCAUAAGGCCGGCGAAGGGGCUCAGCGGAUAAAGGUGCUUCUGUGCAAGCCCGCGAUUCUUCAUUUCCCCAGUUAGCUAACUCUGACCUUCACGUACAUCAUUUUCUCCCCCCCACACACCGGCACACGUACUGUACUAAUAAACUUUUUAAAAAGA